GAGAUAAAUCCUAAAUUUUAUUUAUUAACUAUUUUAAUUACGAUAUUUCCAUAAUACCCUUAUGUAUUUCCUUGUAUAGAUCUAAUUUUUUAUUUAACAAAACAUAUAAUUUAAUAUUAAAUUAUAAUAAUGAAUUACAUCUACCCUAAUUCUACCACACGUUUUUUCUCGAUUCUUUUUUCUUUCAACAGGCGCCCCCUCUCUUCCUCCACAAUAUAGCAGAGAUAUCUUCCUCCAAAUCUCGGUCAACAGGCGCCUCCUCUCUUCCUCCACAAUAGCAGAGAUAUCUUUCUCCAAAUCUCGGUCAUCUUCGCCGGCGUGAGAUCUCCACCGCUUCGUCAUUAUCACCGCCUUAAUGGACCGUCUGCGUCUGCCUUCUUGUCAUCCACCAUAUCAGCCGCCGCGGUUCGUUCAUCCUCUAGGGUGAGGAUCUCCAUCUUCCCAGACAACACAGAAAGAGCCGGUGUUUUUUUUUUGUGAUGGGAGCGAUGAGAUAUACGGGUAAUUUGAAAAGUAUGAAGAAUUUUUAUUAUUUCGUGUCCUGUGAUUUUUUUUUUUGGCGAUGGGAUCGACGAUAUGUACGGGUAAUUGAAAAGUAUGGAGAAUUUUUAUUAUUUCUUGUUCAAAUUUUUUUACUUGAUUUUUCGGAGGCUUUCAAUUUUAAUUGAAUAUUUUUUUUUCAAUAAAUGGGAAUGCACAGUUUUUAAUAAUAAUUUAAUUUAAUAUCGUAUUUCCUUCCAUUCGAAUGGAAACUCGUGUUCUGUUGUUGGGGGAGAAUGUUUAGUCAGUUUCAUAUGUUUAGUAAGUUUUAUAUGUUUAUUUCUCUUUGUAAUGGAUGAGUUUGUAGUAAAUUUAAAAUUCUUGAUUUGUAAACCUAUUUUGUUUUGAAUGAAUUAAAUUUACAUGUUGUUGUCUUCUUUUUCUUUGGUUCAGGUUUUUGCACAAACGGAGUGAUGGCAACAAGUAGGACGAGGUUGGGUGAUGCUCGGGUGACUCUACUAUUGUCUGCAAUGACAUUGUUUAUUAAAGGGGAUUUAUUUUUUUUGUGAAUUUAGGCAAGUUUUUUGUGGGUUUUCUCUUUGUGAAGGGAUCUUAUGUAGAUUUCUAUAUUUUUGUAGUGGUUUUUGAUGAAGUUAUAGUGGAUUUCAGAAAAAAAAUAUACAUGCUGCAGGCGCGAGGAAUAGAGGAGGGGGUGUCGUUGCGCUUACGGUAAAUAGUGGUUUUCGACAUUAAAUAGUGGAUUACGUUAGAGGGAUGGGGUUGACAACGCGUACAGUGUAUAGUGGAUUUCAAAUUUAGGCAGUGAAUAGUGGAUUUCAAAUUUAGACAGUGAAUAGUGGAUAGUGGUUUUUUCGAAUUCUUACGCGACAUUAAAUAGUGGAUUACGUUAGAGGAACACUGAAUAGUGGAUUUCAAAUUCAGGUGGUAAACAAUGGAUUACAUUAAUUUUUUUUAGAUAGUGAAUGUUCAUAAAUUUUGAUGUGUACCAUAAUAGUGGAUUUUAAACUUAGA
rnacentral:lncRNA from 1 species